rnacentral:rRNA from 1 species
UACGUAGGCAGCGAGCGUUGUUCGGAAUUACUGGGCGUAAAGGGUGCGUAGGCGGUUGUUUAAGUUUGGUGUGAAAUCUCCCGGCUCAACCGGGAGGGUGCGCCGAAUACUGAAUGACUAGAGUGCGGGAGAGGAAAGUGGAAUUCCUGGUGUAGCGGUGAAAUGCGUAGAUAUCAGGAGGAACACCGGUGGUGUAGACGGCUUUCUGGACCGUAACUGACGCUGAGGCACGAAAGCGUGGGUAGCAAACAGG